rnacentral:rRNA from 1 species
GAUGAACGCUGGCGGCGUGCUUAACACAUGCAAGUCGAACGAUUAACCCUUCUUCGGAAGGUCAUAAAGUGGCGAACGGGUGAGUAACACGUGACCAACCUGCCUCUCACAUUGGGAUAACUUAGAGGAAUCUAAGCUAAUACCAAAUACUCUUGAUCUUUCGCAUGACGGAUCAAGGAAAGCUUUCGCGGUGAGAGAUGGGGUCGCGGCCCAUUAGGUAGUUGGUGGGGUAGAGGCCUACCAAGCCGAUGAUGGGUAGCCGGGUUGAGAGACCGACCGGCCACAUUGGGACUGAGAUACGGCCCAGACUCCUACGGGAGGCAGCAGUGGGGAAUUUUGCGCAAUGGGCGAAAGCCUGACGCAGCAACGCCGCGUGCGGGAUGACGGCCUUCGGGUUGUAAACCGCUUUCAGUGGGAAAGAUAAUGACGGUACCCACACAAGAAGCUCCGGCUAAAUACGUGCCAGCAGCCGCAGUAAGCA